AAAGCGAGCGGCGGAUGGGUGAGUAACACGUGGGGAACCUGCCCCUAAGUCUGGGAUACCAUUUGGAAACAGGUGCUAAUACCGGAUAAUAAAGCAGAUCGCAUGAUCAGCUUUUGAAAGGCGGCGUAAGCUGUCGCUAAGGGAUGGCCCCGCGGUGCAUUAGCUAGUUGGUAAGGUAACGGCUUACCAAGGCGACGAUGCAUAGCCGAGUUGAGAGACUGAUCGGCCACAUUGGGACUGAGACACGGCCCAAACUCCUACGGGAGGCAGCAGUAGGGAAUCUUCCACAAUGGACGCAAGUCUGAUGGAGCAACGCCGCGUGAGUGAAGAAGGUUUUCGGAUCGUAAAGCUCUGUUGUUGGUGAAGAAGGAUAUAGGUAGUAACUGGCCUUUAUUUGACGGUAAUCAACCAGAAAGUCACGGCUAACUACGUGCCAGCAGCCGCGGUAAUACGUAGGUGGCAAGCGUUGUCCGGAUUUAUUGGGCGUAAAGCGAGCGCAGGCGGAAAAAUAAGUCUAAUGUGAAAGCCCUCGGCUUAACCGAGGAACUGCAUCGGAAACUGUUUUUCUUGAGUGCAGAAGAGGAGAGUGGAACUCCAUGUGUAGCGGUGGAAUGCGUAGAUAUAUGGAAGAACACCAGUGGCGAACGCGGCUCUCUGGUCUGCAACUGACGCU
rnacentral:rRNA from 1 species